AGUCGAGCGAGAAGUCACAUUACUAAUUCUUCGGAAGAAGUAAAGUGAUGGAAAGCGGCGGACGGGUGAGUAACGCGUAGGCAACCUGCCUCUCACAGGGGGAUAGCCAUCGGAAACGGUGAUUAAUACCCCAUAAAGUCAAAAUAACACAUGUUAAGCUGACCAAAGAUUUAUCGGUGAGAGAUGGGCCUGCGUCUGAUUAACUAGUUGGUGAGGUAACGGCUCACCAAGGUGACGAUCAGUAGCCGACCUGAGAGGGUGAACGGCCACAUUGGAACUGAGACACGGUCCAAACUUCUACGGAAGGCAGCAGUAGGGAAUCUUGCACAAUGGGCGAAAGCCUGAUGCAGCAACGCCGCGUGAAGGAAGAAGGCCUUAGGGUCGUAAACUUCUGUUCUUGGGGAAGAAAAAAAUGACGGUACCCAAGGAGGAAGCCCCGGCUAACUACGUGCCAGCAGCCGCGGUAAUACGUAGGGGGCAAGCGUUAUCCGGAAUUAUUGGGCGUAAAGCGUGCGUAGGUGGUAAUUUAAGCGCAAGGUUUAAACUAACGGCUCAACCGUUAAUUGCCAUGCGAACUGGGUUACUUGAGUGCUGGAGGGGAAAGCGGAAUUCCUAGUGUAGCGGUGAAAUGCGUAGAUAUUAGGAGGAACACCGGCGGCGAAGGCGGCUUUCUGGACAGCAACUGACACUGAGGCACGAAAGUGUGGGUAGCAAACAGGAUUAGAUACCCUGGUAGUCCACACCGUAAACGAUGAGCACUAGGUGUCGGGGUCGAUAGACUUCGGUGCCGCAGUUAACGCACUAAGUGCUCCGCCUGGGGAGUACGGUCGCAAGACUAAAA
rnacentral:rRNA from 1 species